GCUGGGCAUGGUGGUCCAUGCCUGUAAUCCCAGCUACUUAGGAGGCUGAGGCUGAAGGAUUGUAUGAGGAGCUAGCCGGGGCAAUUUAGCAUAAUCUAUCUCAA
rnacentral:sRNA from 1 species